rnacentral:rRNA from 1 species
GCUUUUAUAUGCUCCCCCCCUAUUGUACACACCGCCCGUCGCUACUACCGAUUGAAUGGCUCAGUGAGGCGUCCGGACUGGCCCAGAGUGGUGGGCAACUACCGCUCAGGGCCGGAAAGCUCUCCAAACUCGGUCAUUUAGAGGAAGUAAAAGUCGUAACAAGGUCUCCGUUGGUGAACCAGCGGAGGGAUCAUUACCGAGUUUACAACUCCCAAACCCCUGUGAACAUACCUUUAUGUUGCCUCGGCGGAUCAGCCCGCGCCCCGUAAAACGGGACGGCCCGCCGCAGGAACCACAAAACUCUGAUUUUAGUGUAACUUCUGAGUCUAAAAAACAAAUAAAUCAAAACUUUCAACAACGGAUCUCUUGGUUCUGGCAUCGAUGAAGAACGCAGCAAAAUGCGAUAAGUAAUGUGAAUUGCAGAAUUCAGUGAAUCAUCGAAUCUUUGAACGCACAUUGCGCCCGCCAGUAUUCUGGCGGGCAUGCCUGUUCGAGCGUCAUUUCAACCCUCAAGCCCCCGGGUUUGGUGUUGGGGAUCGGGCUGUACUCCAGCCCGGCCCCGAAAUCUAGUGGCGGUCUCGCUGCAGCCUCCAUUGCGUAGUAGCUAACACCUCGCAACUGGAACGCGGCGCGGCCAAGCCGUUAAACCCCCAACUUCUGAAUGUUGACCUCGGAUCAGGUAGGAAUACCCGCUGAACUUAAGCAUAUCAAUAAGCGGAGGAAAAGAAACCAACAGGGAUUGCCCUAGUAACGGCGAGUGAAGCGGCAACAGCUCAAAUUUGAAAUCUGGCUCUCGGGCCCGAGUUGUAAUUUGUAGAGGAUGCUUUUGAUGCGGUGCCUUCCGAGUUCCCUGGAACGGGACGCCAUAGAGGGUGAGAGCCCCGUCUGGUGGAUGCUCAAAUCUCAGAUUGUCUACA